CCUACGGGAGGCAGCAGUGGGGAAUUUUGGACAAUGGGCGCAAGCCUGAUCCAGCCAUGCCGCGUGCGGGAAGAAGGCCUUCGGGUUGUAAACCGCUUUUGUCAGGGAAGAAAAGGUUCUGGCUAAUACCUGGGACUCAUGACGGUACCUGAAGAAUAAGCACCGGCUAACUACGUGCCAGCAGCCGCGGUAAUACGUAGGGUGCAAGCGUUAAUCGGAAUUACUGGGCGUAAAGCGUGCGCAGGCGGUUAUGCAAGACAGAGGUGAAAUCCCCGGGCUCAACCUGGGAACUGCCUUUGUGACUGCAUAGCUAGAGUACGGUAGAGGGGGAUGGAAUUCCGCGUGUAGCAGUGAAAUGCGUAGAUAUGCGGAGGAACACCGAUGGCGAAGGCAAUCCCCUGGACCUGUACUGACGCUCAUGCACGAAAGCGUGGGGAGCAAACAGGAUUAGAUACCCUGGUAGUCCACGCCCUAAACGAUGUCAACUGGUUGUUGGGAGGGUUUCUUCUCAGUAACGUAGCUAACGCGUGAAGUUGACCGCCUGGGGNGGACGGCGCGAGUAGUUAAGUUAAGUAGUUAGUUGUAGGCGNGNGCGNGCGACGGACGACGACGAGGGAGGAGG
rnacentral:rRNA from 1 species